rnacentral:lncRNA from 1 species
CACUUUAAACGGGUGGAUUGUGUGUUAUGUAAAUUUAUCUCCAUAAAGUUCUAUUCAGAAAAAGGAUAUCUGAAAAUGUAAUGCCCUUAUUGACUAACUCAAUAUUUACAGGAGGCUGCAAUGUGCUGGGGGCUUGUUAGAGUCUAAGAUAAGAGAUCCAAUAAACCCCAGGCCCUGUCCUUAGGAAACUUACAUCCUGGUGGCAAGAAAAUGAAAUGAGUGUUUUUAUAAGGAUUCUAAUGGUGGAACUUUAUAGAAGUAGGAAACAUUUGGGAUUGAUGCCUUUUAGCACCCCUAAAAUCACUUCCACAUGAGUAGCAAGUUGUGUUUGUUAUUGUAUGUGCGAUAAUGAACAACUGAACAGUCUUUUCAAGUUAAUAAAGUACUUUCAUAUAUAUAUUAGCCUCAUGUGACCUGCCUAUAAAGUAGAAACUACUUCCUUAAUUUUACAGAGAAGUGAUCUAGGUCACACAACUAAUUAGUGAAAAAACCAGGACUCAAAUUUUCUAAGACUUUUUCAAAUUAACUUUUUCAAAUUAAUAAGUCCCAUCCAUCGGGUCUCCCAAGCCAGAAAUCUGUUUACCUUUACCACUACCCCAACCAGUCACUAAGUCCUGGAAAGCCUGUCUCUUCUAUAUCUGUACCUUUUGAGGGGCUCAUCAAUUCUUCCAUUUUCUGGAAGACACAAGGACUCUGACCUCACCUCCUUCAGUACAUUC